UUUGUUGCUCCCUGAUCUAUACAAUAUCAGCUCAGUAGUUCUAUACAGAGAAUAUUGGAUUCAGACCCAGUAACACUGCCUUUUCCAUCUUUUCUUGCAGGAUGUUGUAUCUCUAUAUUCCUUACUCGCCCCCUUUUUCUUCCUGUAUUUCCCGUGGUCUCUUUGUGCUUAUUUAUUGCCCCCACUGCUGCCCCUCCAUUCCUACCCCCUGGCACAUGUACCCGCAGGAUGGCCGUGUCUCUGAAAUCUCCGUUAGUGAUCACCAUUGUCAUCAACCUUCAUUUAGUGGCUCUUACAUUCCUGUGACUAGGGAUCCUAUCCCCAGGCUGUUGUGUAAGGAUGUCUGUCUGUCUGUGUAAUACUAAUGGGUCUGUGUGUCCUGGCACUCAGUGAUUUGUUGCCUCCUUGUCUCAUAGGUUUGAUGAAGUCUAUAAUUGGCAGUUAAUAUCCCUCUAUAUGAAAAGGAGAUUCUUUCUGGAUGACAGUUGUCCGCCCCUCAGACACAUACUGCUUGCUCUGGGAGGUUACCUCUCGAAUUUUGAUGGUAACUUCAUGUGGAACAGGAUUGGAGCUGUAAUGAGCCUGUAGGAUCCCUGUGCCUCCUUCCGACUCUCUCAGGAGCAUUCUGCCUUCCCCUGGCCUAUCAGAUUGUAGUGGAACUGCUCUUCUCUGCCCGUGCUGGGCUGGCAGCUGGCUUUCUGCUUUGGUUCGGAGGAGGCGCCUGGCUCUGCCCUAGUCUAAUAAUGACACAAUCUUGGAACAUUUAGCCAGUGUCUCCUAUUUUGUGCAGCUGCUGAAAGUCUGCUGAAUGAUAAAUCUGCCCAAAUGCUGGAGCAGUCGGCACACGGCCUAGAGAAAGAAGUGCAAGGGACCAACAUCAGCAGCCCUGACACCCACAGGGAGUUUUAUCUCUAUGACCCCAGAACCCUGAUAUAGGACGUGGACCACCCAUCUUGUAGAGAAUCCAGCCCCAGGCAAAGCACCAGAACAUUCUGCUAGAAGGAAUUGGACAUGAGAUGUGUUUAGCGUGAUCCAAUUGGGAUUUCUUGUGUUUGUCUAAGAGAUGAGUCUCCUACAACAGAGCCAUUGAGUUGGCAGUGGAUGGAGCAUGUGUCUAACUGCCAGCUUGACUCUGUGUGCCACUUGAAUAAGAUUCUUCCAUCCAAAAUGGGACCGUCCUUCUGCAAUCACUGAUCAAUAUUUGUCUCAUGUUCACAUACAGGGAGAGGGGUCUCACACUUAAUCUUGUAUAAGCUGGACACGGCAACAUUCAGGUCUCUGCAGAAGGACUUGUAGCUUUGAGAUGCUCCGUGGUUCCUUACAAACACAAAAGCUACAGGGAUGAUUCAGGCCAUGAAUGGUGCACAAUGUUAAGAUAUUAUAUCUAGAAAGUUCAUUAGUUCCAUGAGGUGAAGCUGAUGUUACUUUUCAUUCUCACACUGGUUCACUUUAUGACAAAUCCAGGGCUGAGCCUUUCUUAAGAUGGCCAUACACAGGGAGGCAUCGCCAAAUGAGUGGAUCUCUCCCCAAUAUGCCAACAUUGAGGUGAGCCAUAUCGGGCUGAUCUGAUAGUGGCACUUGGGCCCAAUGAUCGGUUCAGAACGUUGGCAAUACGGACGGUUGGCCACAUCAAAGAACAGAUGCACGAUCAACAUCUGGCUGACUUUCGGCCAAAUACCGAUCGGGAAGCUCCCGACUUGAUCUGUCAGCAGUUUUUAUUGGCCUGUGUAUGGGGGCCUUUACUCUUGUCCCUCUCCACCCCAUCACUCCUCAAUGACUGGACACCAGGCAGCACGAUUAGCUAGAAAAGGACAAUGUUAUUUAUUUAUUUUUAUUCUCAUUUCUCACGCUAGUUCCCUUUACAACAAAUACAGCGUUGAGUCUGCGUUGCCUCUUGUCCCUCUCCCCCAAUAACUGGACACCAGGCAGCGGCUAGAGAAGGACAACCUUAUUUAUGAACCAUAAAACUUAACUCAAAUGAACAUGUUAAACAACAGUUUGUACUACAACCAGUAAAAGAAGAUAAAAGAAUGGCACAUCUCCUCCAGGAAGGAGCACCCCUGUUUCCUAUCCAAGUCCCCAUCAAAUCUGUCCAACUCCCCCAGGAGCCCAGGCUGAAUGAAUGAGGUGCAAGUGAGGGGGAGCUGAUACACUGCUCCUGUGUAAGCAUACAGCUCGUAGUAGGCCCAAACUGUCAGGCCCCUCACUCAGGAUAUAUAGUCUGGCUCCACCUCUGUUUCCUAGUUCUGUUGCAAAGCUCAGUGAGGUUAUCACUAGACAGCCAGGAAGAUCAAGAGGCAGUUGUAUGAGGGUAAUGAUAGAGAGAGCAAAAGAGAGACCUGUCACCCAUACUAAAAUCAGCCUGUGUAGGAUUUACUGCACUGACAUUUCGGGCCUACUAGAAAAGCAUUUUACAUUGCGUAUAAAAUUCCUUUUUCUCUAGUCCCUCCUGUCAGUGCAGACGUCCUGUAAAACAUAGGUUGGGUAUGCUGAAUGGUUUGGUUAUCUAUUCCACUUAAGCCACUGCAACUUGUAAAACUUUGAGGCCAAACACGGCCGGUGUAGAUGCGAAAACAUGCAACUGAUAAAGUUUGCUAAAAGUGUUGGGUGAAGCCCAUGUGGCUACUCUAUAGAUCUGCUCCGAGGUAGCCAAGUUCUGAUGGGCCCAGGAAGUACUUUGUGCUCUUGUAGAGGGAUCUGGAACCUGGAACGGUUGCUGUUUUUGGUUGAGUGUAGGCCUGAUUAAUUGUCUCUACAAGCCAUCCUGCAGUAGUAGCCUCUAUGUGCUGGAGAGUAGGAGACCUGAAGCGUCUGCUCUUUGUAAAUCUUGAUUGCCUGCACCACAGCUUAUGUAGCUGUUUUUCUUUUUCAUUCUUGGGGUUUGGGCAAAAGGACGGGAGAACAAUUUCCUGGUUGAUAUGGAAUCCAGAUACCACUUUUCGUAGGAAAAUAGGAACUGUAGGAGGGACUUCCUUGUUGUUGUAGAGAAUCAGCCAUGGUUCCUUAUGUGACAGCGCUGCCAUUUUGGUUACUCUUUUGGCUGAAGUGAUCGCAAUAAGGAAUGUGACUUUCAGGGUCAGCCACUUGAGAUCACAGGAAUGGAGAGGUUCAAAUGGUGCCUUCUUUAUGACUGACAGCACCAGCCCAUGGAGGAGUCAGGUUUCGAAGGGGGGGGGUGUGAUUCACAGAGCCCCUUGUAAGACCUGCUGGAUGUUCUGCCCACUUGAAGUGGAAUAGUAUUGAGAGAGCUGAUAUCUGGGAUUAAAGGGUCACAACUUGUGGUGUGCUGAUGAGUUGUCUGAAGGAGCACCACAAGAGAAAGGUUUGACACUUUCCUUGUCCGUAGCAGGAUGUCUAUCACUGGUGGGGAAAAUCAUCUCUUGGCCCAUAAAUUGGUCUCAAAUGCCAUAAAUGGAGCAUGGUCUAAUGGGGUGCCGAGCUGGGCCCUGGAGAAGAGGUUCCGGUUGUAGUGGUUGCCUCCAUGGUCUGGAUAUGGACAUGCCUAGGUCUGUGUACCAGAGUCUAUUGGCCCAAUGCAGGGCAACAAGUAUUGUUGUUACCCUUCAUGCUUGAUCUUGAUGAUGACUCUGGAUAAUAUCGCCAAUGGGGGAAAAGGAAUAAACCCAUUAGAAGUUCCAGGGAAUCACUAAGGCAUGUUUGAAUGCCACUCCUGGAUCCCUGGUACUGGAGCAAUUACAUGGCACUAUUGUGUCUGGAUGCUAAGAUGUCUAUUUCUGGCAUCCCCAUUUGGUGACUACUUGUCAGCUAUCGCUGAAAUGAUUCCGUUUUGAACUUGUGGUUGUGGAUACGUUUAGAUGUUUGAUAUUUAGUAUUGCUCGGAAUGGAUCCUCGUUUUGCCACCAGGAAGAGGUUUGAGUAGAACCCUUUGAACUUGUACUGUUCUGGAACAGUUGUGAUGACUGCCGACCAUAAAGAUAGAUAACAUAGAGAUGUUAUCGCCUGGUGUAGGGCAUGUUACUUUUGUGUGUGGGUACCACCGAUGUAACAAAUCCUCUUGGUGGAAUUGUGGUCAAAAUGUGUUUUGUAGAUGUGUUGAAUAAUUUGAAGAACCCAAUUGUCCAUAACGUGUGCUCUCCAGCAGGAGAGGAAUCUAGUGAGGGGACCCCCUACUCUGGAAGCUGGGCUGUGUUUAAGGCAGUCAUGCUGAGUUAGGUUUUGUAGCGACAGGCUUUCUGGGUCUGCUUGACUGUUGCCUAUUGCCUUUUGAAUACUGCUUUCUACUGGUGUAACGAAAACUGGAUGAGUGAAAAUUGCUGCUAAGUGUGGACCGUGUUUGCCUGGUGGUAAAUUUCUUUGAUUGAUCAGUAUAAUGACUUUUUCCUAGUGGAAGGAAGGUGUUCUUCCCUCCUGUAACAUCUGUAAUGAUUUGUUUAUAAUUUGGUCCAAAUAAGAAUUCUCCUGUAUAGUACAGACCCAAUAGUUUAUUCUGAGGCUGUAUCCCCUGACCAGUGUUGUAGCCAUAGUGCUCAGCUGGCUACCACCGAAUUGGCUACUGACUUUGCGGCAAAGCAGAUGAUUUCCAAGGCCAAGUCAUUAAACAUGUUGAUGUCUCCAGCUAGUUCUUGUGCCGAGGUGGAUGGAUCAUGGGCCAGUUCCCAGAAUCUUUUAGAGAGGACUUUUUACACUCCUUACUGCGUCUUCAGUAGGGAGUGUAGUUUGUUUGGAACGUCUAGCAAUGGUGGAGUCUACUUUAGGUGGCUUUUCCCAUACUUUCCAAUGUUCCUCAGGAACUGGAUAAGUAUCUUAAAAUCAUUUGGUCAGUGCAAACUGGCGAUCUGCUUGUAGCCAUUCUGUGUCAUAGUCUUCGUGAUUGAGCCAAACAUAGGAAAUGAGUGUGCUUUCCUUUGAUGGACACCUAACACUUUAUCUGCUUUAGACACUGCAAUGGUCUCAUCUUUUAGUUCCAAGGUCUCCAUCGUGUCUUUGAGUGUUUUUUUUAUUUUUUUUUUAUUUGUCUGGUUUUGUACAUGAGGCUUGUUCAGAAUCUGAGUCUCUAUAUGCCUUAUCUGAGAGCCUCAGCUCUGAGUCAUGAAAUGAAUAAACCUCAUUACUGAAUAAUGGACCUUCCUCAGCAUCAGAUAAGUCAGGUGGGGACUCCUGUGCUUUGCAUUUGGUAGCUUGUGGCUGAAGGUUGGGAGAAUGGAACUUUUUUUUUAUCCAUUCUAAGAAAUCCCCUAGCUGAGGGGUAGUUGUGGACAUUGUUUCUGCAACAUUACCUGGCCUAGGAGUACUAUUGACUCCUUGGGUUUGGGGCUCCUUGUUGCCUUGUGAUUCUAGGAGUACUGAAUUGGUCUCAGUUGGGUUAUCUUGCGGCGAUAAAUGUGGUGGUUGUAAGGUCUUACAGUCGGCACAGUUAAUGGUCUCUGACUUUCUUAGAGUAUGUUUGCACUUUUUUUUACAUUCUUGCCCUUUAUCAGGCUUUUUUGUUGGACUCUUUGGCCAACAGCUUUGGCUGAUUGAAUGUCCUCUUAAGGAACUAGAUCCCUCCAUGACAAAACAAGUGGUAAUGUUUUUACAAACACUGUGGCAAAAAGUAUAAGAUCUACUGCUGCCAUGGGGUUAAUUCUGGUACCUCAAUAUAUCUGGAGGAGUUGCCUGCCGCCUGCAGGAAUAGCCGCGGUUCUGAACCAGCGUAGGAACUGCUAUGUGCGCCAAUCUGUUGGCCCUAAAAUGUGAAUGGCUGCCAUGUUGAACUGUGCCCUUUACCAAAAUGACGUGCAAUCUAUCUGGUCAAAAACCACUUGAAACUGCAACAUCCUUUGCACUUUACUUCUUGCAAUUCUUUGAGAUUAUAGACGGCAAUAAGUGUGUAUUUGGCACAAGUGCUACACAGGAGCAGAGUAUUGGCUACCCACACUUGCACCUUAUUCAUUUGGCCUGGGCUCCUGCAGGAGUUGGAGAGACUUUGAUGGGGACUUGGAUAGGAGGCAGGGGUUAGGGUGCUCCUUCCUGGAGGAUAUGUGCCAUUCUUUUAUCUUCUUUUACUGUUUUUAGUACAGGUAUGGGACCUAUUAUCCAGAAUACAGGAAAAUCCAGUAAACAUUAAUCCCAAUAAACUGGGGUUGGUUCCAAUAAGGAUUAAUUAUAUCUUAGUUGGGAUCAAGUACAAGCGACUGUUUUAUUAUUACAGAGAAAAAGGAAAUACACUGUGGAAAAAAAACAUCCAUUAACUCCAAGGUAUUUGGUGAAAUUUGCAAUUCUUUGGACUAGUGACAUGGGCCAGUUUCGCUUGUGACUAGUAGGGAUCCACUAAAUACACUAUUUUGGACUCGCACGUCACAAGGGAUACAGCCAAAUCUUGAACUGAAGCUAAAUCUUAAUUUGCAGCUGUAAAAACGAGGAAACUUCCAGCAAAAGAAACCACUUCUAUGGAAGUGCAGGUACGUCAGGAUGCAAGUACCUUUAAAACAGGUGGUUCACCUUUAACUUUAAGUAUGUUAUAGAAUGGCCAAUUCUAAUCAACAUUUAUAAGCCACUAUGCAAUGGCUUGCUGGCUAUUGGUGUGUCAAUCUAUUGCUCUCAGACCCCUGGGAUGUUGCACAACGUUUCUGAGUUGGAUUGCCCUUGUAGCACUGAGAUAAGAGAUCCAUUUAGAGCAGGGAUCCCCAACCGUUUUUACCCAUGAGCCACAUUCAAGUGUAAAUGAUAUUGGAGAGCUAUGUAAGCUUCCAAAUAAGGGCUGUGAUUGGGUGCUGGUAUCUCCUAUGUGGACUGGCAGCCUACAGGAGGCUCUAUUUGGCACUACACAUGGUUUUAUACAACCAAAACUUGCCUCCAAGCCUGGAAUUCAAAAAUAAGCACCUGAUUUGAAGCCACUGGGAGCAAUAUCCGAAGGUUCUGAGAGCAACAUGUUGCUCCCGAGCCGCUGCUUUAGAGUGUGGUCUGAACUUGUAUGCGUUAUAUAUUUAUGAAAAAACAGUGGUUUGGAUCAAGGGAUGCAAUAGCUCAGAGGUUGUUGGUUGCCCUUGUAAUGCAAAGGUUCUGAGUUCGAUUCCUCUUGUAGCACUGGGGUAAGUGAUCCCUUUAAAGUAUUGUUUGAACCUGUAUGAACUAUAUAGUUAGGAGAAAACAUUGGUUUGUGUUAAGGGAUGAGGUGGCUCAGAGGUUGUUGUUUGCCUUUGCGCAUGAGAGUUCUAAGUUUGAUUCCUCUUGUAGCACUGGGGUAAGUGAUCCCUUUAUAGUGUUGUCUGAACCUGUAUGAACUAUAUAGUUACGAAAAAACAUUAGUUUGUAUCAAGGGAUCCGAUAGCUCAGAGGUUGUUGGUUGCCCUUGUAAUGCAAAGGUCUUGAGUUCAAUUCCUCUUGUAGCACUGGGGUAAGUGAUCCAUUUAAAGUGUUGUCUUUACUUGUAUAAACUAUAUAGUUACGAAAAAAACAUUAGUUUGUAUCAAGGGAUGCAAUAGCUUGGUGGUUGUUGGUUGCCCUUGUAAUGCAAAGGUCCUGAGUUUGAUUCCCCAUGAUUGCUGGGUUUCAACUCAAAAGGGUGGCUCCUCCUGAAGGCUGGGUCCUGAGUCUGAUUCCCCAUGAUUGCUGGGUGUCAACUCAAAAGGAUGACUCCUCCUGAAGGUUGGGUCCUGAGUCUGAUUCCCCAUGAUUGCUGGGUGUCAACUCAAAAGGAUGACUCCUCCUGAAGGCUGGGUCCUGAGUCUGAUUCCCCAUGAUUGCUGGGUGUCAACUCAAAAGGAUGACUCCUCCUGAAGGCUGGGUCCUGAGUCUGAUUCCCCAUGAUUGCUGGGUGUCAACUCAAAAGGAUGACUCCUCCUGAAGGCUGGGUCCUGAGUCUGAUUCCCCAUGAUUGCUGGGUGUCAACUCAAAAGGAUGACUCCUCCUGAAGGCUGGGUCCUGAGUCUGAUUCCCCAUGAUUGCUGGGUGUCAACUCAAAAGGAUGACUCCUCCUGAAGGCUGGGUCCUGAGUCUGAUUCCCCAUGAUUGCUGGGUGUCAACUCAAAAGGGUGACUUCUCCUGAAGGUUGGGUCCUGAGUCUGAUUCCCCAUGAUAGCUGGGUUUCAACUCAGAAUGAUGACUCCUCCUGUAGGCUGGGUUCCAAGACCCAACUCCUCCCAAAGGAUGUUCAAGUUCCAUUCCAGAAAAAGAGUGGGUUAUGCAUCUUGUUGGUGGGAGCCCCUUCCCCUAUAUAGGAUAAGUAAUGUAAACAUUACCAAGUCCCACUUUUUUCACCCAUUCUUUCUGGAUAACCCCCUGGGUCAACUCCCCCUUUGGCCUGCCUCUCUCUCACCUUGGCCCGGUACUCUCCCUCCUUGGCCUUAACCAGGUGAGGGAGAGCACCACUGGGGCGGGGGUUGCCCCAGUGGGGCUCGUCUGAAGUGGUUAAUUACAUGGAGAGGAACACACAAACGCCUUGCAGAUGGGGCCCCAGUCAGAGCUUAGUCUCCGACCUUCAUUACGAAUCGCCCUUGGGUCUUGGAACCCAACCAUCAUCAGGAGCCGCCCUUUUUGACCAGCCAGAGCUGGGGCCCCAGAGCUGCAAGGCCAUGUGUUCCAACCAUGUUAUUAUUGCCCACUUUACAAUCUACAUAUGAGAUUUGAACUUGCUUAUGAGUGCUGCUGUGCAGCCGCACGGCCCAAUUCGCCACCUUCCCCCAUCUGCCUGUGCUUCUCUUGGGUGUGGGACGGACCACACCCCCAUCGCUACACACAGUCACAGACGGGAUUUGAACUCAGGCCCCUGAGUUCUGCUGUGCAGGAGUACUACCCAUUUAGCCACCUCACUGCACAAGAAAUAGCCUUGUCUUUGGUAAUUAUAUCAUGGACAUUUGUAUUCAGCACUUAGAGAGAAGACAAAACACCUUUCAGACUACGGCUGGAUUUGAACUCAUGUCCCCAGUGAGCCAAGUCUAACACACUUACCCCUAGGCUACCAGGUCAGGUCUCUGAUAUCUGCUCACACCCUUAUUAAUACUCCAUAGCAAAUGGAGGAAGAGUCAACACUAAAGUUGCCCAUUUGUUAUACAAGAAAAUAAGAGGUGAAUCUGAGCCAAUCAAGAGCCAGCGCUGGAUCUGUUCCUCCAGCAAACACCUGUAUUUACAGCAGGACAGCCCAAAACUUUGUGGCACUUUGGGAAUAAUCACAAGUUCUUAAAUAUAAAGGAGAGAGCGUAGGGAAACGUGGUCUAGUGGUAAGUUCAUUACACUUGGCUCAUUGGAGACAUGAGUUUGAAUCCAGCCUUGUGUGGUUGUCUUUUACAUGCAGAAUAAAUGAGGUCUCUCUACAGAUAUAUCAAAUAUAUAUAUCAAAUCCCAUCUGUGUUUGUUUAUGGGUUCCCUCCCACACCCAUGAAAUGAAUAAGCAGAUGGGUGAGUAGUCUUGUUUGGAAUGUACAGCCCCAGCUGUGGUUGAGCUCUGGCUGGUGCCCUAUCUGCAAGGUGUUGUAUGUACCUCUCCAUGUCCAUCAAAGCUUACAUUCAUCUUAUAUUUCCGGAUUUGUGAAAAGGCCCGGGCUUAGGGCGGCAGGAUUUUAGGGGCGGCAGUCCAACGACACCCACAUUGGUUCAAAGACAUAGGGGAUGAGUUGGAUUUUUUUUCAUUUCCCGUGUGCCAAUCCCCAUUGCUCCGGUCCAGAUGAUGGAAUUUUGCAUGAAUAAAGGGGAGACGAACGGCAGUGGCCUUAGGGGCACUUACUAUGUAAAUCCAGCCCUGAUCUCCUGACUGAGCCUUGGCCAGUCCCAGUGGUGCACUCUUAAUUAACUCCACACCUUAGCUUGUGAGUGUUGAAUUAAUAACAGCCCCUUAUAGAGAACUUGGAUUGUAAGAAAAAGUACUUUUCAUUCCACCUAAAGGUUGUUUCCAUUUUUGUCAGCAGAAAACCACACCAGCCCGGGGUUCUUCUAGCGACCACCAUGGAGAGAUCCUCUUCCUGCUUCUUCAGGUCUUCUCGCAGUUGCUUCAACGAAAAAGCCGCCUAUUUUGCUCUACUGUGCAUGCGUCUGAAAACCGAUGAAGCAGGAAAAUCUCUCCAUGGUGCUCUGUAGAAAAACCCCAAGCUGGUGCGGUUUUCUGUUAAUCGGAGCGCCAGCUCAAUUGUAAAAUGCUAUUCCUUCUCCUUUUAACGUAGAAAUGCACUGGAGUCAACAGAUUUUUUUUAUUUAUUUUUAUUUAUAAGUAAAACAAAAUCUAUAGAGAAAUGCAGAUAUUGACGUUGGCAUUUGAGGGUUUUUUUUCUGCCACAAUAAGACUUCAUUCUGUUUCCUGGAGAAGCAAAAAAUUUUAAUAUUUGCUGCUGGUCAAUAUGUGAAUUUGGCUGUAAAACUGUACCAGAUGAGGCUCCCACAGCAAUAGGUGCCAACAAACUUGUACCCCACCAUAUCAUGUGUAGACCAUGAAUUUGCUGCCUACUAUGAAACCUUUUAUAAAUAAAUAAACCUUAAAUAAAUGCCCACUUCUCUUGAAUACCCCUAAACUCAUUAGACCCCCCCACAGAAGGCCUAACUUGACUCCCCAAUCUAACUAGCCAUCCAGUCUCCCUCCCAAAUAAAACCUCUGGGCUGGAAAGGUUUCCGGCCUCGUUACUUGGCGAGAACCAGGACUUUAAUUCCCCACGUACACAGGACUUUGGCUAAAGCCCAAACCAAGGGUCACCUUCCCCAUUCCAUGCAGAAACCUAUAAUAGUGGUCAUAGCGAAGGAGGCAGGGCAACCAGUGUUGGGGCUUCCUGGCCAAUCUCUUUACUCAAUGUGGAUGUCAAAGUUUGGGUUCCUGACACAAAAGGCUACAACCAUCAAUAUAUUAGUUCUAUGCCAACAAGCAAAUUCCCCAUCAGAGGCGGGCCAUGACUUUUGGGUACUCAAGGUUACCCUCUGGAAACGGCGUGUCUUCCACCAAGCCCCUUGCAUUAGCCAUUACUAAUUGCUUCAUGCAGAAGCAUGUUGUAGAAGAAUCAGUGCAAUUUUUUUUCUUUUAAUAGCACCCCCUCUUAACUUGCACCCUAGGAGGUUGCCUACCCCUAGUUCCUGCCCUGUUCCCCAUGACAAAGGCACCAGAACUAUCCUAUCAAUUGACUGGGACACACAGGGAGCGUAGGCAGGCAGAAUAUGGCACACAGAGGGCAGGCAGAGUAUG